AGCUCCAAUAGCGUAUAUUAAAGUUGUUGCAGUUAAAAAGCUCGUAGUCGGAUUUUGGCAUCACGCCGAACUGUCAGCCGAUUGGUUUGUACGGUUUGGCGGGUGCUCUCCUUCCGGAAGCUCGUUCCCUUCUUAGUUGACGGGUUCGAUGGUUCCGGGUCUUUUACUUUGAAAAAAUUAGAGUGUUCAAAGCAGGCCUAUGCUCUGAAUAGGUUAGCAUGGAAUAAUAGAAUAGGACUUUGGUUCUAUUUUGUUGGUUUCUAGGACCGAAGUAAUGAUUAAUAGGGACAGUUGGGGGCAUUCAUAUUCCAAUGUCAGAGGUGAAAUUCUUGGAUUAUCGGAAGAUGAACUUCUGCGAAAGCAUCUGCCAAGGAUGUUUUCAUUGAUCAAGAACGAAAGU
rnacentral:rRNA from 1 species